rnacentral:tRNA from 1 species
GGGGUGAUUCCAGAGUGGCUAAAUGGGACAGACUGUAAAUCUGUUAGCGUAUGCUUUCGGUGGUUCGAAUCCACCUCGCCCCA